rnacentral:rRNA from 1 species
AAAGGAAUAGACGGGGGCCCGCACAAGCGGUGGAUUAUGUGGUUUAAUUCGAAGCAACGCGCAGAACCUUACCUAGGCUUGAAAUCCCACGAAUCCCUUUUAAACGAGGGAGUGCUCUUCGGAGAAUGUGGUGACAGGCGCUGCAUGGCUGUCGUCAGCUCGUGUCGUGAGAUGUUGGGUUAAGUCUCGCAACGAGCGCAACCCCCAUUUUUAGUUGCCAGCAUUAAGUUGGGCACUCUAGAAAGACUGCCUGGGCUAACCAGGAGGAAGGUGGGGAUGACGUCAAGUCCUCAUGGCCCUUAUGUCUAGGGCUACACACGUAAUACAAUGGUCGGUACAGAGGGAUGCGAACUCGCGAGGGGGAGCAAAUCUCAAAAAACCGAUCUCAGUCCGGAUUGGAGUCUGCAACUCGACUCCAUGAAGUUGGAAUCGCUAGUAAUCGCGGAUCAGCACGCCGCGGUGAAUACGUUCCCGGGCCUUGUACACACCGCCCGU